UUCAGUUGUCCCAAGGAGCCGAAAACCGUAGCUACUCCUCUGGGGAGGACGUGGCCACCGGCAGGGGGCGCCUGAAUGUUGUUAGAACCUUGGAUGGCAGCACUUCUGCCACACCAGGAAGUGCUGCCGGAAGAAAUCCCAGGGGCACCCGGAGUGAUUCCGGGUGCUCACCUGAAACUUCUGCCACACCAGGAAGUGUCGUUGGACAGAGCACCUGGAGCCCUUCUAGUGGCAAGUAGAUCUGAGUGUCAUCAGCAUGGCAGUGAAAGGAGAAGCCAUAUGUCUUGACAAUCAAGACCGGCAAGGAACAGCACCAGAGUUUUCAAGGGAGGAACUACGCGGCUGACAGAAGACGUCAGGAUAACCCAGCUUCAUUCAGACAGUCUCCAGACACAUUUGAGGAGAUGUCACAAGUGUGAGUUUUCAAGUGACCCGCUCGGCAGAACACUAAAAAUAUCAGUUAUGCUGUGAGAAGCCAAGUGGAAGAUAAGAGUGUGCCUGGAUAGCAGCGACCUGUCAGUGGACAGACACCAGAGAGCUGCACCCCACCCACAAUGUGAAGCUCUUUUAUGGAGAUCACAGUACAUGACGAUGUGAAUCUCUCCAAAGCUUGCUGGCGCUGAAGGCCACUGGUUUGUUUUCCACCAGUGCUUGUUAGCUCUGAAGAUUCAGUAUGGUAGAAAUGCUCAAGUGCUUAUUUAUCUCUAAAUUAUUAAAAUAAUCUUCAUUUUUUAUGACGUCCUAUAUCAGGGGUGUCCAACUCCAGGCCUGGAGGGCCACAGUGGCUGCAGGUUUUGUUGUUAA